CAUCGUCUUGUUUUAUUUAUUCGGAGUCAAAUCUUUAAAAGUUGGAGAUUAUGUUUACCCACUGUGGGCACAAUGUGUUGCACAUAUUAUGAGCCUUAGCUCGGUUAUAUUCAUUCCUGGUUAUGCUGUUUACAUCAAGUUUAAAAGUGGGAAGUCCUUCGCAGAGUUACGAAGGGUGGUGGAAUUUAAAGAUAAAAAGAAGAAAAUUUUCGACGACGAAGCUUGUAUUCCGUUAGAAAUGUCUUAAAAUGUUCAUAUAAUAUCACCAUGUUCUUUAUCUUCUAUAGUUGAUUAAUAAUAAGCCGGAAUCAUUUAAAUUCAAAAUAGAAUUCUGUUAUU